rnacentral:misc_RNA from 1 species
UACGUAGGGGGCGAGCGUUGUCCGGAAUCAUUGGGCGUAAAGCGCAUGUAGGCGGUCCAGUAAGUCGGAUGUGAAAUCCUGAGGCUCAACCUCAGAACUGCAUCCGAUAUUGCUGGACUUGAGGAAGGUAGAGGAGAGUGGAAUUCACGGUGUAGCGGUGGAAUGCGCAGAUAUCGUGAGGAACACCAGUAGCGAAGGCGGCUCUCUGGGCCUCUCCUGACGCUGAGAUGCGAAAGCGUGGGUAGCAAACAGG